CCUAUCAGCUUGUUGGUGAGGUAACGGCUCACCAAUGCAACGACGGGUACCGGGACUGAGAGGUUGACCCGGCACAUUGGGACUGAGACACUGGCCAGACUCCUACGGGAGGCUGCAGUAACGAAUAUUGCACAAUGGGCGCAAGCCUGAUGCAGCGACGCCGCGUGUGGGAGUAAGCCCUUCGGGGUGUAAACCACUGUCAGGGACUACCAAGCAAUGGAGGUGAAUAAUCUCCUGCGUUGAGGCGUCCCAGAGGAAGUCACGGCUAACUUCGUGCCAGCAGCCGCGGUAAUACGAAGAUGGCAAGCGUUGUUCGGAAUCACUGGGCUUAAAGAGCACGUAGGCGGACUGUCAAGCGUCUUGUGAAAUCCCUCGGCUUAACCGAGGAAUUGCUGGGCGAACUGACAGUCUUGAGGCAAGUAGGGGCGCACGGAACUCUUGGUGGAGCGGUGGAAUGCGUAGAUAUCAAGAGGAACGCCAGAGGCGAACGCGGUGCGCUGGGCUUGACCUGACGCUGAGGUGCGGAAAGCCAGGGGAGCGAACGGGAUUAGAUACCCCGGUAGUCCUGGCCAUAAACGAUGUCUACUAGAUCUGAGGUGUUCUGACACACUUCUGGUCGAUACCCAAGCGUUAAGUAGACCGCCUGGGGAGUACGGUCGCAAGGCUAAAACUCAAAGGAAUUGACGGGGGCUCACACAAGCGGUGGAGCAUGUUGCUUAAUUCGAUGCAACGCGAAGAACCUUAUCCUGGGCUUGACAUGCUUGGAUGCCCAUCUAGAAAUAGAGUAGGCUGCCCUUCGGGGUGAAACUUGCACAGGUGCUGCAUGGCUGUCGUCAGCUCGUGUCGUGAGAUGUUGGGUUAAGUCCCGUAACGAGCGAAACCCUUGUCGUUAGUUGCCAGCGAGUAAAGUCGGGGACUCUAACGAGACUGCCGGUGUUACACCGGAGGAAGGUGGGGAUGACGUCAAGUCCUCAUGGCCUUUAUGCCCAGGGCUGCAAACGUGCUACAAUGGCGUGUACAAACCGAUGCAAGACCGCGAGGUGGAGCAAAUCGGAAAAAGCACGCCCCAGUUCGGAUUGGAGUCUGCAACUCGACUCCAUGAAGUUGGAAUCGCUAGUAAUCG
rnacentral:rRNA from 1 species